rnacentral:rRNA from 1 species
GAGUUUGAUCCUGGCUCAGGAUGAACGCUAGCGGGAGGCCUAACACAUGCAAGCCGAGCGGUAUUGUUUCUUCGGAAAUGAGAGAGCGGCGUACGGGUGCGGAACACGUGUGCAACCUGCCUUUAUCUGGGGGAUAGCCUUUCGAAAGGAAGAUUAAUACUCCAUAACAUAUUGAACGGCAUCGUUUAAUAUUGAAAGCUCAGGCGGAUAGAGAUGGGCACGCGCAAGAUUAGCUAGUUGGUGAGGUAACGGCUCACCAAGGCAAUGAUCUUUAGGGGCCUGAGAGGGUGAUCCCCCACACUGGUACUGAGACACGGACCAGACUCCUACGGGAGGCAGCAGUGAGGAAUAUUGGUCAAUGGGUGCAAGCCUGAACCAGCCAUCCCGCGUGAAGGACGACUGCCCCUAUGGGUUGUAAACUUCUUUUGUAUAGGGAUAAACCUUUCCACGUGUGGAAAGCUGAAGGUACUAUACGAAUAAGCACCGGCUAACUCCGUG